rnacentral:lncRNA from 1 species
UGUUUUUCUAGGUAGAUGUGACGGAAGUGAGUCCCUCCGGGUUUCCAGGGGAACGUGGACCUCCAGGACCUAAGGGAAGCAAGGGAGAACCAGGAGAAGAUGGUGAGAAAGGCUCUAGAGGUGAUAAGGGUGAUACUGGACAGAGGGGAGAGAAAGGUGAACCUGGUGAGAAAGGCAGAGAUGGUGUCCCAGGCCUUCCAGGUGAAAGAGGCCUUCCGGGCCCAGAAGGGAAAGCAGUAAGUAAAAAAGGAAGGGAGCUUGAAUGCUGUAGUGAGAAAUGUGUAUGAUUUAACAGUGGGUUAGGAAAGAAAGAGUGAAAGAGAAAAGAAAGAAG